rnacentral:rRNA from 1 species
CCCCGGUAAACGGCGGCCGUAACUAUAACGGUCCUAAGGUAGCGAAAUUCCUUGUCGGGUAAGUUCCGACCUGCACGAAUGGCGUAAUGAUGGCCAGGCUGUCUCCACCCGAGACUCAGUGAAAUUGAACUCGCUGUGAAGAUGCAGUGUACCCGCGGCAAGACGGAAAGACCCCGUGAACCUUUACUAUAGCUUGACACUGAACAUUGAGCCUUGAUGUGUAGGAUAGGUGGGAGGCUUUGAAGUGUGGACGCCAGUCUGCAUGGAGCCGACCUUGAAAUACCACCCUUUAAUGUUUGAUGUUCUAACGUGGACCCGUAAUCCGGGUUGCGGACAGUGUCUGGUGGGUAGUUUGACUGGGGCGGUCUCCUCCUAAAGAGUAACGGAGGAGCACGAAGGUUGGCUAAUCCUGGUCGGACAUCAGGAGGUUAGUGCAAUGGCAUAAGCCAGCUUGACUGCGAGCGUGACGGCGCGAGCAGGUGCGAAAGCAGGUCAUAGUGAUCCGGUGGUUCUGAAUGGAAGGGCCAUCGCUCAACGGAUAAAAGGUACUCCGGGGAUAACAGGCUGAUACCGCCCAAGAGUUCAUAUCGACGGCGGUGUUUGGCACCUCGAUGUCGGCUCAUCACAUCCUGGGGCUGAAGUAGGUCCCAAGGGUAUGGCUGUUCGCCAUUUAAAGUGGUACGCGAGCUGGGUUUAGAACGUCGUGAGACAGUUCGGUCCCUAUCUGCCGUGGGCGCUGGAGAACUGAGGGGGGCUGCUCCUAGUACGAGAGGACCGGAGUGGACGCAUCACUGGUGUUCGGGUUGUCAUGCCAAUGGCACUGCCCGGUAGCUAAAUGCGGAAGAGAUAAGUGCUGAAAGCAUCUAAGCACGAAACUU